GGUCGCCUCUGAAUUUUUUCUCAGGUUGACCUCGGAUCAGG
rnacentral:rRNA from 2 species